GGCAAGAUGGUCGAGUUGGUCUAAGACGUGGGAUUCAAGAACUCUGUUCUUACCUCCGUCGGGGGCAUGAAUAUCCCCAUCUCGUAAGAGGCAGGGGUUCGAAUCCCCUUCUUGUCA
rnacentral:tRNA from 1 species